UAUUUUGAUACAUUUGAAUAUACAAGAAGACUAAACAACAAAAGUUAAAAUUAUACCUAUAUUACCGACCGUCUCUAACGUAAGUUGCAAAGGGCUUGGUGAUUGGUACCCAAGGUUUCAAGUUCGAUUCCUAGUUGAUUCACAUUUUCAGUUAAGUUUAUUUCUAAAUAAAAUAAACGAAGCGCUGCCUAUCUCUAAAAAAAAAAACAAAAACAACAAAAAUUAUACCUAUAUUUAACAUGUAUUAUUCCAACUAUAAGAGAUUGUUUGGUUAGAUGUAAUUACGAAUAUAGAAUAAUUGGAGAUGCAUGCAAUUGAAAAUAUAAUUAUAAUUGCAAUAAUAUGCAUCAUCCUGUUU
rnacentral:lncRNA from 1 species